GUUUUGUGCAAUUUGCUAACAGGUACUCUCCUUUAUUCCCAUGUCAGAUUAAAAUUUUGCAUUAAUUAAUUUCCAUUUGUCAGAAAUGUACUGUUUCAAAACAUCUUGUUAAUAAUGAUAAAGACAAUUUUAAAGGAGUUGGUUAUAUUUAGAUAUAAUGUUGCAAAUCUAUAUUUUAAAGUGUUAAGGAUGGUAGAGAACAUGUUAUUGACUGGAUUUCUGUGGC
rnacentral:misc_RNA from 1 species